UAUCAAGAUGGAUCGCCCGGAAUUUCU
rnacentral:piRNA from 1 species